GCCCCGGGGCUUCUGAUUAAUAACAGGUUCCUGUGAGGUUCCUUCUUUGCUUUGUUUUCAGAAGGUGGCCAGGAAGCGACCGUGUUGGGAGAUGAAUUGUCCCCGUUUCUCUCACACAGGUCUUAAAGGCCCUGGGCAGCUGUUGCUGGUAUCAGGGAGUGAAGUCCUCUCUCAGCCAUUCAUUCCAUGGAAUUGGACCCAUCUGGUUGGACCGCUGCUCCGCACCAUUCAUCAUCUCUGCGGUCAACAACAUCUGCCCAACCCCCGCGGAUCGCCCAAUGUCUUGGCGAAUGAAUGAACCCGGGAUCGGUCAGUGCGCUGUUUUGCUGUGGGAAGGCAGGCCUGACUGGGGG
rnacentral:lncRNA from 1 species